rnacentral:tRNA from 1 species
ACUAUUUUGGCAGAAAAUUGUAAUGGUUUUAGAAGUCAUAUAUGUAUAUUAUAAUAAUAUAUAAAUAGUA